UGGAAAUGAUGAAAUAGAGGUCAUCGAUGAGGGUGUGAGUGAGGGAGAAUGACAAAUUGUAUUCUGAUUAACUGUGUGUGCGUGCGUGUGUGUUUAGAGGGUCAUAUAACGGUGCAGAUUGUGUGCUCUGACAAACUGCUGAUUUCGGAGUGCAUCUGAGGCGCAUUUGCUAACUAAUGGGGUCUUUGCUUCAAUGUUGCCAAUGAUUAGUGCCUGAAAUUAGCUCAUAAUUUGCACCAAGACAUCUUAAACCUCUAACAGGUUCAUUUUGGCCUACAAAGGAACUUGUGAUAUGAUCUAA